UGUUAAUGGAGGGGAUAACACUUAAUUGA
rnacentral:piRNA from 1 species